rnacentral:lncRNA from 1 species
AUUUUUUGUGGAAUUUUUUGGGGAUAUUUUUGGGAUAUUUCAGGGAAUUUUUUGGGAUUUUUUUGCGGAAUUUUUGGGGGGAUUUUCUGUGGAUGUUUUUGUAUUUUUUGUGAUUUUUUGGGAAUUUUUUUUAAUUUUUGGGGAACCUUUGGGGACUUUUUGGGGAAUUUUUGGGGAAUUUUUUUGGGGGAUUUUUUUGUAUUUUUUGGGAUUUUUGGUGGAAUUUUUGGGCAUUUUUUUGGGAAUAUUUUAGGGAUUUUUAUGGGAUUUUUUGGGAAUUUUUUGGAGAUUUUUUGUGGGAUUUUUGGGGGAUUUUUUGGGGAUUUUUGGGGGUAUUUUUGGGGAUUUUUGGAGGGUAUUUUUGGGGAUUUUUUGGGGAAUUUUUGGGAUUUUUUGGGGAUUUUUUUGGGAUUUUUUGGGAUUUUUUGGGGAUUUUUUUGGGAAUUUUUGGGAUUUUUUUGGGAAUUUUUUGGGAAAUUUUGGAAACAUUUUUGGGUAUUUUUGGGGGAAUUUUUGGGGGAAUUUUUUGGGAAUUUUUUUGGGUUUAACUGGGCCAAGGCGCCCUCUUGUGGACAUCGAGGGAGUUGCAGAAAACAGCCCCGAAAAUUCCCAAAAUUUGGGAAUUUAUUGGGGAAAAAUUGGGGGAAAAUCAGGAAAUUUUAUGAGAAUUUUUUGGGAUUUUUAGGGAAUUAUUUGGGUAUUUUUUUGGGAUUUUUAUGAGGAUUUUUUUUGAUUUUUAAUGGGGUUUUUAAUAGGAUUUUAAUGGGAAUUUUUGGGGGAUUAUUUUUUAAUUUUAUGGGAUUUAAUCAGAUUUUAAUGGGAAUUUUUUUUUGAUUUUUAUGGGAAUUCUAAUGGGAUUUUUUGGGGGAUUUUUAUCAGAUUUUAUGGGAUUUUUUAGGGAUUUUUUUGGGUAUUUUAAUGGGAAUUUUCUGGGAUUUUUGGGGGGAUUUUAAUGGGAAUUUUCUGGGAUUUUGGGGGGGAUUUUAAUGGGAAUUUAAUGGGAUUUUUAUGGGAAUUUUAGGGGAUUUUUUGGGGAUUUUAAUGAGAAUUUUAUGGGAAUUUUGGGGGAUUUUUAAANUAAUGGGGGAUUUCAAAGGGGGAUUUUAAUGGGGGAAUUUAAUGGGGAAUCUAAUGGGGAAUUUCAAUGGAAUUUUACUGGGACUUUAAUGGGGAAUUGCAAUGGGAUUUUAAUGGAAUUUAAAUGGGGAAUUUCAAUGGGAUUUUAGUGGGAUUUUAAUGGGGAAUUUCAAUGGGGUUUUAAUGGGGAAUUUCAAUGGGGGAUUUUAAUGGGAAUUUCAAUGGGAUUUUAAUGGGGGAUUUUAAUGGGGAAUUUCAAUGGGGAAUUUCAAUGGGAUUUUAAUGGGGGAUUUUAAUGGGGAAUUUCAAUGGGAUUGCAAUGGGAAUUUUCAAUGGGGGAUUUUAAUGGGAAUUUUCAAUGGUGGAUUUUAAUGGGGAAUUUUAAUGGGGGAUUUCAAUGGGGAAUUUUAAUGGGGGAUUUUAAUGGGAAUUUUCAAAGGGGGAUUUUAAUGGGAUUUUAAUGGGAAUUUUCAAUGGUGGAUUUUAAUGGGGAAUUUCAAUGGGAUUUUAAUGGGGAAUUUUAAUGGAGGAUUUCAAUGGGAUUUUAAUGGGGGAUUUCAACGGGAUUUUAAUGGGAAUUUUCAAUGGGGGAUUUUAAUGGGGGAUUUUAAUGGAGAAUUUCAAUGGGAUUUUAAUGGGGAAU